rnacentral:lncRNA from 1 species
AAUAUAUUUAAUUUUGGGCUUACAUAUAAUAUAUUAUAUAUAUAAUUGUUUGAGCUCGAUUAGGCUCGCGAGCCUAACGAGUCGAGUAUCAAGAAACUCGAACUCGGGCUCGAUACCUAAUCGAGUAGCUCGAGCUCGAGCUCGAGCUCGACUCGACUAACAUCGAGUCGAUUUCGAGUAAUUUUCGAGCCGAUCCCGAGUAACUCGCGAGCUAGCUCGACUCACUUACACCCCUC